CCCAUUCUUUGUUAGGUGAGGCUUCUGCAUAGACCAUACGCCACUGCCCGGAAAUGUCGAGAGACGCCAAUGGGUCAACAGGUACUACCGGAUUAAGGUUUUACCUAAUGUGGCUGAGUCGUAGAACUCUAGCUAUGUAUGUGCCAAAGCUCAGACGAGGAAGGUGGUCG
rnacentral:sRNA from 2 species